GGAGGAGGAGGAGGAGGAGGAGCAAAUAAGAGAAGGAAGGAGAGGCAUCUCUGAUGAGAUUAGGGCAACACUUGUUGAUCAUGUAAUCAACCAUGGUUUGACAGUGAGAGAGGCUGGACUGAGAGUUUAGCCCAACUUGAGUCGAUUUACAGUGGCGUCCAUAAUUCGAACCUUCAGAAAUGAGAACAGAGUGGAAAGGCUAAGACAUCAUCGCGGACGAGGACGCUUGUUUACAGAUGUACAAGAGACUGCAAUUAUAAAUAUGGUUUUGGCCAACAAUGCAAUUAGGAUUCAAGAGAGCAUUUCUUUAGUAAUGACACCAUAUUCAACAACAUCAAUGCUGUAAGCCUGUCGACCAUACAACGCAUCCUCCAAUGGCACCAAUUGACAAUGAAACAACUUUACAAGGGGGGGUAAUAUAACCAUAUGUGCUGCCAUCACUCAAAACGGGGUCUUCCAUCACAAUGCCACACUGGGUCCAUGCAACACCGGCCAUAUACUCACUUUUCUAGAUGCAAUUCACACAAUGCUUGUCCCUGAUCCAGAUCAGGCGCCUGCUAGGUUCGUGGUUAUAUGGGACAAUGUUAGUUUUCACCAGGCUGUUCUGGUCCAAAACUGGUUUGCCACAAAUACACAAUUUGUAAUUUUGUACCUACCCCAAUAUUCACCUUUUCUAAAUCCCAUAGAGGAAUUGGCACUGGAAAGUGUAUGAUCGCCAACCCUUGGCCCACAUGCCACUUCUUCAGGCAAUGGAGGACGCAUGUGGGGACAGAGUUUGCCUCUGUUCAAGGUUGGAUACGCCAUGCUAGGAGAUACUUCCCUCGAUGUUUGUUUGGCAAGAGGAAACGUAGCUUGUGAUGUGGAUGAAGUGUUGUGGCCAGACCCAGCUUGGAAAAGAGAUUUAGCACUGGGGACUACACCCCACCCCCCCUUGCCAAUUCCUGGACCGGGACCCCAUACAAAAUUUACUGUAUUUGGUUUACAUGUUUAUUGUUUUGUUGUAUGCUAAUGUAUACAACAGUCAUUUUUGGCCUAAUACAUGUUUUCUGUUUCUACAUUGCAUUGCCGUUUCCAGUGUACAUGUUACCUCUCAGCAGAUUAAUUUCACUGUAGAACAUUGUAUUGAAAUGUAGCUAUAAGCCUAUGAAAGACCAAAGAGCUUUAGAUUUAGCACAGCAGUGUUUACAUGGUAUAUCCAGAAAUUUAUUAUUAAGAAAGAGGUGUUUGCCAUUUGAUGCAAAUGUUUCAUUCUGACAUGUGUUUAUGGCAUUUUGAAUUCAGUGUUGCAUUUUGAAGGAGAUGUGAGCUAUUUUGCAUUUUGUGUGUGCAGUUUUGAGAAUUGUGUGUAGAGUUUUUAAAAAAGGAGACUUGGUUUUGAAAACGUGUGUAAGGAAUUGGUAAAAACUGUAAUUACAAGACAGAAACCGUUUAUAUUUAAGUAUUAGCACUACUUUGUCUGUUAAAUCAAUCCUACCGAGACUGGCAUGCUCCUGCCUAAUAAGCAUUUGUACAGUUUAAAGGUCAGUCUCCUUCCCCUCAGCGUGAAAGCUUUGAAUGAAGAACAACAAAAAAUAAAUAAAAAAAUUACAGCUUUUUCAGUUUGAAGACUGGCAGCCAUUCAAUGCUCAGGUUAAAGGUUAAGGGUGCUCUCACUUGGCCUCUGGUCCCUGACUUCACCAUCGAUUGUCACCCCUCUCUAAGACGUAAUUACAGAGCACGAGCCUUUCGCCAUCUCCAGCUGUGUCUGCUCGGAAACCGUUUGGAGGUUUUCUACAACGCCUUGUCAGAUACAGCGCUAAAUAUAAGCAAUGAAAAUAACACCGGCUCUGGAAGGUUCAAUCUCAUCAUUAACACAGCGCUAAGGCGAACCCAGUUUAUUGCUCCGGCGGGUUCAACUUUUUUUUUAAUGAGGAGAUGAUAAAAAAGAGAUAGCAAUGAAGAGGAGUAGAAGGAGGGGAACAUUUUGCUUUUAUCUGGCGGUCAGGAAGCGGCUGGAAAUGUGCUCGUUAUGAAAAUUGAGCCAAUAAUGAAGCAAGUGCACAACGCGCAAUUAUAACAGGGACAACAAAUAGUUGCCACAGUGGCAAUUUACUGUUGUGUAAUAACAAGAGGCACAUCUCUAAUCUGCAAAAUAGAUUUGCAUCCAAAUUGGCUCCCCCCCUUCCCCCAACGCCACCAUUUAAAGGAGAUGUUGUUCGCUAUCUAAUAAGUCCUGAGAUUGUAUUCCCUACUGAACUUUGACUGAAUAGAGAAAAUACAAUUAACAAACUUUCUAAUGUUUUCUCUUGGUCUUUUCUUUUCCACUGUGCCUUUUUAUAAGCUUCUGAAUAAUGUACAUUGAAGCCAUACUGUUCAAAUAAUAGAGUAUAUUGUUACAAACUAAAAUGUUGUUAAAAAAACCAUUUGUUCAUUCAAAGUCUUUCUGACUGGAUUAUAAGAGCUGAAAAUGACAUUUUAGUGUCUUUGUGCAGUGUUGAAUCACCUUUUAUGUACAAUAUAUAAGUUAGCAAAUAGUUUGAAUAUAGUCAAAUAUAGUCUGCUGUUUUCAAUUACAAUACAAACAAUACAAGAAUCCAAAUCUAAAUUGAUUAAACCCUUCUGCUAAAGUUCUUGAUCAUUGUACUUCUUUCUAAAAUGAAUUAGCAAAAUAAUCUGCCAAUAGAAUAUGAACAUGUAUAUUUAUGUAAAGCUUGUUUGUAAUGAAUGAAAUACUAAAGCAUUUUGAUUGCUUGCAAGCUCCUCCUUCAAAUGUUUUUGAUCCUGAGUGUUAAUUUUCAUCUCAAACCAAAAAAUCAUUACAGAUACUUUUUUGUUUUAAAGCAUUUUCCCCAGCAGUUUGGGAGCACUAAGGGGUAGCACUUACUUCUUUACAAUGCAGUCACAACCAACAUCUGUCUUGUUUUGAACCCACAGCUGCCAGUCUUAUCGAUCAGGUUAAACGCAUUAAGUCCCACUGAAUGAACUUGCGGGUAGAAAUCUCAAGACAUACUGUAUUGCUAUAUUACAUUCAGCGUAUACUAAGAUAGUGGUGGCAGUUGAUACUGUGUACAAAAUAAUAAAAUAAAUGUAAAAAUUCA